rnacentral:rRNA from 1 species
UUCUUGGCUGGCUUGAUGCUCAGUCUGACCAAUGGGAUGACCCCCUUUUCUCUACUUUGUUUAGCUUCGUUCUUUGCCUAGCUCAUUUACAGGAAACAAAUAGUCUUUCCCAUCACUCCAAUCUUUACUUAUCUACCUUGGCUUAACUCAUUAACUCCCACGACUGAUGCUGGGGUGCGAAAGCAGGGGGAGCAAACAGGAUUAGAUACCCUGGUAGUCCAUGCCGUAAACAAUGAGUGUUCGCCCUUGGUCUACGCGGAUCAGGGGGCCAGCUAACGCGUGAAACACUCCGCCUGGGGAGUACGGUCGCAAGACCGAAACUCAAAGGAAUUGACGGGGGCCUGCACAAGCGGUGCUUUAGCUAGGAGCCUCUUUUCCUUCUGCCCAGCUCCCCGAAAACAACGUUCGACUUGCAUGUGUUAAGCAUAUAGCACGCGUUCCUUCUGAGCCAGGAUCAAAC